rnacentral:rRNA from 1 species
CCUACGGGUGGCUGCAGUCGAGAAUCAUUCACAAUGGGGGAAACCCUGAUGGUGCGACGCCGCGUGGGGGAAUGAAGGUCUUCGGAUUGUAAACCCCUGUCAUGUGGGAGCAAAUUAAAAAGAUAGUACCACAAGAGGAAGAGACGGCUAACUCUGUGCCAGCAGCCGCGGUAAUACAGAGGUCUCAAGCGUUGUUCGGAAUCACUGGGCGUAAAGCGUGCGUAGGCUGUUUCGUAAGUCGUGUGUGAAAGGCGCGGGCUCAACCCGCGGACGGCACAUGAUACUGCGAGACUAGAGUAAGGGAGGGGGAACCGGAAUUCUCGGGGUAGCAGUGAAAUGCGUAGAUAUCGAGAGGAACACUCGUGGCGAAGGCGGGUUCCUGGACAUUAACUGACGCUGAGGCACGAAGGCCAGGGGAGCGAAAGGGAUUAGAUACCCGAGUAGUC